GCCAGCUGCGAUAACCUGUUGAAUUCACCUGUUCCCAAUGGAUCACCAAAGUUAAGCAACGCUGUGCGUGUUUGGCAUCCGGAUGAAUGGCCAUCUGGACAAUCGCGCGUGCUGCUGGCU
rfam:Asian citrus Psyllid, Diaphorina citri - Florida Strain, whole genome shotgun sequence.